AGAUGGCUCUAGCUUGGGUCAAAUAGACAUAAAAACUAGCCAGGACACAGAGAUUCUCCUGUCUCAACCUCCAAAGUACAGGGAUUGAAGAUCAGGGAGAAACAGCAGGGGAAACUGAGCCAUCCCAAGUCCUGCUCCUGAUAGUGACAUAUUAAGUACAUUAUGGAUACAUAGGAUACAUAUGGAUACAUAGAACAGAGAACACAGAAGCCAUUGUCUUGGACCAUGAGAACAAGGACCACAAGCCCAGGAAGGGGACUGUGGAGCAGUGAAUAAAAGGGAGUCAAGAGCUCUGACUGCAAGAGCAGAGCACCUACCUCUCAGAGUUGAUGCCUUACCUCCUUUGAGCCACCCUUUUGUUUGCAUGGCAGCUUUGGUUUAGCGAUUGCUUUUGUGUGCUGCUUCUACCCUUAUUACUUUGCUGCAUCCAUUCAGCAUUCACUCUCGUCUCCCUGCCUUGAGGGAUGGCCUCCAUCACCAACACUAGCUAUGGUUGAGCAAGUCUACCCAAUGGCAAUUCUUCCCAUUUCUGUUCUCCACCCAAUACUAUGCCUUUCACAUUCACAUUGUCAGCAUGGGUCCCAUUGGUAUGCUUUUGACUGACAGUCUCACUUUAAAGGUGGAGGUAGGCUGGGGGUGGUUUAUCUUUUCUUCUUAGUCUCUGAAAUGCCAGAAUUGUGCCUUUUGCUCUGCAGCACCAGAUGCCACCUUAGAUGCCCUGAUUUGUGACCGUAUCUCACUCACUAAGUAUCAUACCACCACCUUCAGGCCUCUUAUGCUUAGCUACAUUUAGGUGCCUGCCACAUGGUGGUAUAACAACUUACAAAAGUAUUUUGACCGAUACAUCUGAACUAGAACCUAGUACCUACUUCAUAUCCAUUCCUUCUGGACAUUUCUCUUUGGCUGUAUCUUGUUUGUUUUGGGGUAGAGUCUUACCGUGUAUCCCUGGCUGGCUUCAGAGUCACAAACUUCUUGCCUUAGUCCCCCAAGUGUUUAAUAAUAAAAUUUGUAUUUUAUAA
rnacentral:lncRNA from 1 species